rnacentral:rRNA from 1 species
CCCCUAGAUGUUCUGGGCCGCACGCGCGCUACACUGAACAGUUCAACAAGUCUUAACCUUGGCCGAUAGGUCUGGGUAAUCUUUGAACGCUGUUCGUGAUUGGGAUAGACCUUUGCCAUUAUGGGUCUUCAACGAGGAAUUCCUAGUAAACGCAAGUCAUCAGCUUGCAUUGAUUACGUCCCUGCCCUUUGUACACACCGCCCGUCGCACCUACCGAUUGAAUGGUCCGGUGAAAUCUCGGGACGGCGGCUUGGUCGCUUGCGUCCGACUGCUGAAACUUGAUUAAACCAUAUCAUUUAGAGGAAGGUGAAGUCGUAACA